UACGUAGGGUCCGAGCGUUGUCCGGAAUUAUUGGGCGUAAAGGGCUCGUAGGCGGUUUGUCGCGUCGGGAGUGAAAACACGGGGCUUAACCCCGUGCCUGCUUCCGAUACGGGCAGACUAGAGGUAGGUAGGGGAGAUCGGAAUUCCUGGUGUAGCGGUGAAAUGCGCAGAUAUCAGGAGGAACACCGGUGGCGAAGGCGGGUCUCUGGGCCGAUACUGACGCUGAGGAGCGAAAGCGUGGGGAGCGAACAGG
rnacentral:rRNA from 1 species